rnacentral:rRNA from 1 species
UACGUAGGGUGCAAGCGUUAAUCGGAAUUACUGGGCGUAAAGAGUGCGUAGGCGGCUAUGUAAGACAGAUGUGAAAUCCCUGGGCUUAACCUAGGAACUGCAUUUGUGACUGCAUGGCUAGAGUGUGGUAGAGGGAGAUGGAAUUCCGCAUGUAGCAGUGAAAUGCGUAGAUAUGCGGAGGAACACCGAUGGCGAAGGCAGCCCCCUGGGCUAGCACUGACGCUCAGGCACGAAAGCGUGGGGAGCAAACAGG